GUUCCCAUGCCGAACACGGAAGUUAAGCUCUUCAGCGCCGAUGGUAGUCGGGGGUUUCCCCCUGUGAGAGUAGGACGCCGCCAAGC
rnacentral:rRNA from 2 species